rnacentral:rRNA from 1 species
AGAGUUUGAUCCUGGCUCAGAGCGAACGCUGGCGGCGUGCUUAACACAUGCAAGUCGAACGCGCAGCAUCCUGUAGCAAUACAGGGUGUGGGCGCGUGGCGAACGGGUGCGUAACACGUGGAUAACCUUCCUUCAGGUGGGGAAUAACCCAGUGAAAAUUGGGCUAAUACCGCAUAACAUGACGAUGCCACAUGGUGUUGUCUUCAAAGCCGCAAGGCGCCAGAAGAGGGAUCCGCGGCCGAUUAGCUUGUUGGCGAGGUAAUGGCUCACCAAGGCUUUGAUCGGUAGCCGGACUGAGAGGUUGGCCGGCCACACUGGAACUGAGACACGGUCCAGACUCCUACGGGAGGCAGCAGUGGGGAAUCUUGCACAAUGGACGAAAGUCUGAUGCAGCAACGCCGCGUGGGGGAUGAAGCUUUUCGGAGUGUAAACCCCUUUCGACCCGGAAGAAUGCCCGCAAGGGUUUGACGGUACGGGUAUAAGAAGCCCCGGCUAACUACGUGCCAGCAGCCGCGGUAAUACGUAGGGGGCCAGCGUUGCUCGGAAUUACUGGGCGUAAAGGGUCCGUAGGCGGUGUGGCAAGUCGGGAGUGAAAUCUCUGGGCUUAACCCAGAGGCUGCUUCCGAAACUGCCAUGCUAGAGUGUGAGAGAGGCGAGUGGAAUUACGGGUGUAGCGGUGAAAUGCGUAGAUAUCCGUAGGAACAUCCGAGGCGAAGGCGGCUCGCUGGAUCACAACUGACGCUGAGGGACGAAAGCUAGGGGAGCAAACAGGAUUAGAUACCCUGGUAGUCCU